CUCUCAGUGACUUCCAGCCACAGGAGACUAAUGAAGAGCGCUCCGUGGCCGAAACCAGCAAAUGGUCACUGCUCCAGAAAAGGAAGUCGGGAGUGAACAAGCAUGUUUGGACCUGUGAUGACCUUCCUGGACACCACCCCCCUCAAUUUAUCCUGCAUCAUUCUUCCUGCUGAAUGUUCAUCAGAGAGUCCAGCCUUUGCCAAACAUUCUGUCAAUUUGACAUUUUAUUAAAGCAUGCCAUCUUUGAUUCCAA